rnacentral:tRNA from 1 species
GGGGAUUUAGCUCAGCGGCAUAAGCACCUGCCUUGCAAGCAGGCGGUCCUGGGUUCGAUCCCCGGUACCA